CCUACGGGUGGCAGCAGUGAGGAAUAUUGGUCAAUGGGCGCGAGCCUGAACCAGCCAAGUAGCGUGAAGGAUGACUGCCCUACGGGUUGUAAACUGCUUUUAUAAAAGAAUAAAGUUGAACACGUGUGCCUUGUUGUAUGUACUUUAUGAAUAAGGAUCGGCGAACUCCGUGCCAGCAGCCGCGGUAAUACGGAGGAUCCGAGCGUUAUCCGGAUUUAUUGGGUUUAAAGGGAGCGUAGAUGGAUUGAUAAGUCAGUUGUGAAAGGUGGGGGCUUAACCCGAGAAUUGCAACUGAUACUGGUAGUCUUGAGUAUAGGUGAGGUAGGCGGAAUGUGUGGUGUAGCGGUGAAAUGCUUAGAUAUCACGCAGAACUCCGAUUGCGAAGGCAGCUUACUAAUCUGCCUCUGACAUUGAUGCUCGAAAGUGUGGGUAUCAAACAGGAUUAGAUACCCUAGUAGUC
rnacentral:rRNA from 1 species